GGUCAAGCGAAACACAGCUGACGGUGGAUACCUAGACACGCAGAGGCGAAGAAGGACGUGGCGACCGACGAAAAGCUUCGGGGAGCUGGCAGCAAGCAAUGAGCCGAAGAUAUCCGAAUGGGGCAACCCCAAUGUACAGCCUGUUGAAUCCAUAGACAGGUAUGAGCCAACCCAGCCAACUGAAACAUCUUAGUAGCUGGAGGAAAAGAAAUCAAACGAGAUUCUCCCAGUAGUGGUGAGCGAAAGGAGAAGAGCCUAAACCAGAGUACUUGGUAUUCUGGGGUAGUGGGACAGCGACAUGGAAGCACGAGGCUAGACGAAGCGAUUGACAAAUCGCACCAAAGAGGGUGAUAGUCCCGUAGUCGAAAGUUGAAGUGAUACUAGCUGAAUCCCGAGUAGCUAGGGACACGGGAAAUCCCUAGUGAAUCAGCCGAGACCACUCGGUAAGGCUAAAUACUACUGCGUGAGCGAUAGAGCAACAGUACCGCGAGGGAAAGGUGAAAAGAACCCCGAUAAGGGGAGUGAAAUAGAACAUGAAACCGUCAGUUGACAAGCAGUGGAAGGAUGAUUCAACGUCCGACCGCGUGCCUGUUGAAGAAUGAGCCGGCGAGUUAUAGUCACUGGUAUGGCUGAUAGCCACAGCGAAAGCGAGUCUGAAGUGGGCGAAUUUAUCAGUGUAUAUAGACCCGAACCUGGGUGAUCUAACCAUGGCCAGGAUGAAGCUUGGGUAACACCAAGUGGAGGUCCGCACCGACCGAUGUUGAAAAAUCGGCGGAUGAGCUGUGGUUAGGGGUGAAAUGCCAAUCGAACCCAGAGCUAGCUGGUUCUCCCCGAAAUGUGUUGAGGCGCAGCGGUAAGUAAUAAUUGCUGGGGGUAAAGCACUGUUUCGGUGCGGGCGGCCUCAAGCUGUACCAAAUCGAGACAAACUCAGAAUACCAGCAACAAUCUUACUAGUGAGACGGUGGGGGAUAAGCUUCAUCGUCAAGAGGGAAACAGCCCAGACCGCCAGCUAAGGUCCCCAAAUCAAAGUUAAGUGGCAAAGGAGGUGGGAGUGCACAGACAACCAGGAGGUUUGCCUAGAAGCAGCCAUCCUUGAAAGAGUGCGUAAUAGCUCACUGGUCAAGCGCUCCUGCGCCGAAAAUGAACGGGACUAAACUUUGUACCGAAGCUGCGGACUUGUAGCGAUACAAGUGGUAGGGGAGCGUUCUGCGAUAGGGUGAAGCACUAGCGGCAAGCAGGUGUGGACGAAGCAGAAGUGAGAAUGUCGGCUUGAGUAGCGCAAAUAUUGGUGAGAAUCCAAUACCCCGAAACCCUAAGGGUUCCUCCACAAGGCUCGUCCGUGGAGGGUUAGUCAGGACCUAAGGCGAGGCCGAACGGCGUAGUCGAUGGACAACGGGCGAACAAUCCCGUACUGAAGAUUAGUUGUGCAGAGGGACGGAGAAGGCACGCACCAGCCGAAUGUUGGUUAUCGGCGCAAUUAACCGAGGCGAUGAGAAGCGGCGAAAACGCUUCGAGCUGGGGUUAAGAGACCGAGGGUCUACGGACCCGAAGUGGUAGCGGUCAAGCUUCCAAGAAAAGCUCUAAACACGUUAACUAAUCGACACCUGUACCCAAAACCGACACAGGUAGGGAGGUAGAGAAUACUAAGGGGCGCGAGAUAACUCUCUCUAAGGAACUCGGCAACAUGGCCCCGUAACUUCGGAAGAAGGGGUGCCCAAGAAAUUGGGUCGCAGUGAAGAGAUCCAGGCGACUGUUUACCAAAAACACAGGUCUCCGCAAAGUCAAUAGACGAAGUAUGGGGGCUGACGCCUGCCCAGUGCCGGAAGGUUAAGGAAGUCGGUCAGGGACUCGUUCCUAAAGCUGGCGACCGAAGCCCCGGUGAACGGCGGCCGUAACUAUAACGGUCCUAAGGUAGCGAAAUUCCUUGUCGGGUAAGUUCCGACCCGCACGAAAGGCGUAACGAUCUGGAUGGUGUCUCAGAGAGAGACUCGGCGAAAUAGGAAUGUCUGUGAAGAUACGGACUACCUGCACCUGGACAGAAAGACCCUAUGAAGCUUUACUGUAGCCUGGAAUGGUGUUCGGGCUUUGCUUGCGCAGAAUAGGUGGGAGGCGUGGAAUUACUCCUUGUGGGGAGUAAGGAGCCGCAAUGUGAGAUACCACUCUGGCGAGGCUAGAAUUCUAACCCACGACCGUAACUCCGGUCGGGGAACAGUUUCAGGUGGGCAGUUUGACUGGGGCGGUCGCCUCCUAAAGUGUAACGGAGGCGCGCAAAGGUUCCCUCAGGCUGGUUGGAAAUCAGCCGCAGAGUGUAAAGGCAAAAGGGAGCUUGACUGCAAGAGUGACAACUCGCGCAGGGUGGAAACACGGCCUUAGUGAUCCGACGGUAGUGAGUGGAAGCGCCGUCGCUCAACGGAUAAAAGUUACUCUAGGGAUAACAGGCUGAUCUCCCCCAAGAGUCCACAUCGACGGGGAGGUUUGGCACCUCGAUGUCGGCUCAUCGCAACCUGGGGCGGAAGUACGUCCCAAGGGUUGGGCUGUUCGCCCAUUAAAGCGGUACGUGAGCUGGGUUCAGAACGUCGUGAGACAGUUCGGUCCAUAUCCGGUGCAGGCGUUAGAGUAUUGCGAGGAGCCUUCCUUAGUACGAGAGGACCGGGAAGGACGAACCGCUGGUGUACCAGUUAUCGUGCCAACGGUAAACGCUGGGUAGCCAAGUUCGGAGCGGAUAACCGCUGAAAGCAUCUAA
rnacentral:rRNA from 1 species